GUGCUUACUUUGACAACACAUACACUAUAAAUUAGAACAAUACAGAGAUUAGCAUGUUUCCUGUGCAAGGAUGACAUGCAAAUUUGUGAAGCAUUCCAUAUUAAA